GUCUUUAAUGAUAAUCACUUUAAGUUUCCAGGUAUUGUAUGCAGUUCGGCACACGGCAACGUUACUGGUGCUAAGACUGGCCUAGCUAGCGUUAGCUAUGGUUAUUCAGAGCUAGCUAUCUUAGCAACCCUGGCCUAGCAACUUUGGUGGUAAGAAGUCAGCCGGUCACCUGUUGUCUGGAAAGACAUUAACGAUAUGUAUUGAACCCAGCAACCUGCUAUUAUGAAUAUUCAUAAAUAUGAAUUUCAUUUCUAAAUGAGCCCAAUCGUAAAGUAUCAAUCAAUGCUGUGUUCUCUAACGGAAUCCCAUUACACGCCAGGUUCCUCGCUAAUGUCAACGUUCUGACUUGGCUGUAAGGGAGACAAAGGGAUUGAAUAAGAAAGAGACAAGUUAAGUUGUGAUGGAGCAGCCACCUGGGAGCUUAGAUGAUCUACAGCCUCAAGACCUCUCCACAUCCAGCAUCCCCGCUGGGAUCGACCUGACCAGGAAAGGUGAGGAAUGCGUCCUCAACAGCCCGACCCUCGAUGCUGUGCAUAUGGUAAAGAGCCCCAGCUGGUACCCAAACCUGGGGACCAGCAACCCUGGAUUAGUCUUCUCUGAGACUGGCUCCUCAGAGACCACUCUCCAAUCAGGGGAACUAAUUCAACCAGACAAUGCCUUCUCCCACACUACAGUCACCCUCUCCUACGUAAGCAGGUCUCGCGUCUUCUCCGCUCACGACUCCCUGUCUCGGCGUUCGCCCCUGUAUGGUGUGCCGCCUAUUAGCAAGUUGUCCCUCCACUCUCCUUGUGACUUAGAUAUUGGGCUUGAGGAGACUGGCUAUACACUGAACCAGCAUUACUUGGAGCAGGUUGAUGGGCCCAUGGACCUUGCCACUCAGACGCACCUUUUUCAGUCAUUGGCUCAGGUGGGACCAGAGAAAGAUGGGGGAGUGUGCCUAGCGCAGGAGCCUCAGGAGUUAAUUUCUAGUGGCAGAGAAAAGCAUGGAAACGGUAAGGAGGAUCACAGCCUUUCUCUGAAAAAGAGUGGGGGUUUGGAAAAUGGACAGGGUGGUAGCUGCUCCAGUUCAGGUGUUUGUGCCAAAAUCUCACCGGAGACGCUCACCUCUGCCACAGGGGAGGAUGAGGAGAGGGGCAGCUCUGAGGUGCUCUCUCUCACGUGUAAGAAAUGGGACCCAGUAGUCGUCUCGGGCAGUGUGGGUGCUAGAGAACUGUCUUCACAAGGCAGGGAGUACAUCAGUCCUCUGGAGGACCCCGUCUCCCCCUCCGCUACCUCGCUGGACAAUGUGGAGGAUGUGUUCGUCCUGCCUCAGGCCUCAAGCUCACCCAGCGGUGAUAACUCUUAUCUCGAGACAUUUGAUGUGGUUGCCUGGGAUGGCUUGAGGACAGAGGGGGCCAUUCAGCCAUGCUGUGGCAUCAGCGAUCGCACCACAAGGUUAGAUUCAAGCGCCGAAAAUAAGCAGACCGCCAGUAGACGGAAGACGGUGUUGGAGCCUUUGAUUGACUUGACGGAUGAUGUUUGUGUGUCAAAUGUUUCCAAAAACGAACCCAAGGCCUUCACUCCUCACAUGAACGAGAAUGCUAAGGUACUUCAGAGAACUUUAAAAGAAAAGAAACUGCCUGUGCGGCCCGGCAGAGGUACACGGUUAGACACUAUUGUUAUGAACAUAAAUUCUAGCCGGUAUAAAGUGUCGGGAUGCAUACGUACCAGUAAGAAAGCAAAGGCUUCCCAGUCGCCAGCUGGUGAGUCUAAGUUAGCCAGUCCUCAGAGGAAUAACACCCUGUCAGCAGAAAAAAGGGGAGGCCGAGUGAAAGCGCCUUUCUCUGUGAUAACGAGGAAACAAAAAGCAAGUUCAAUGAAAAGGGGUCAAACUAAUAACAUGAACACUGACGGUUGCAAAGACUCUACCUCUGAUUCUGAAAUCAAUCAUUCUAAAAAGUCUAAUGACAGCACUUCUCCAAAAAGCCCUCUGUUUUCUUUGCACAAUAAGUCAAAGAGAGGACCAGAGGAUGUUUACCACCCUGCACAUGAACCAAGGUCAAAGAAGAAACCCUCAUCGCCCUCAAGUCCUCAGUCUGAUGUGCAUGAAAACUCAAAGGAGCCCGAGCAUCUAUCCCCCCCUAACCCUUCAGUGGAAAUUCAUACUGCAAGGCCUUUCCCACCACAAUCAUCAACAUCUCCAAAGAAAAGCCAAGGCAAAGGCAAGGCCAAAGGUAGCAAACCAUCUCCCACUUCCAAGACCAAGGGGGCUGGUACUCGCAAGAGAAGGCAAAAGAAACUCACAUGGAGCCAGUAUCCCUCCAUUUUCUCCCCGAACGAGCCGGAGAUCAAGUUAAAGUACGCCAACCACAAGGAGGAAAAAAGGGACUACAGGUUAGACGGGUUCUCUCCAUUCAUCCGUGUUGAGCGUCAGCAGUCAUCGUCAUCACUGUGUACUAUAAUCAACUAUCCCGAGGAGGUUAGGACACAACACAAGAGGGGCCAGCAGCAGCAGGUUCCCCCCUGUGGGUUCAUGUCUGCAGUCGUACCCAGCACGUCCUGUCUGCAGCUGGGACGGGCGUCCACUCAAAGCCGGCAGCAGCGCGCUCUCGUCUGCUGCCUAUGUGGACAGGCGGCUAAUGCCAUGGAUUUGGGGGACCUCCAUGGCCCCUAUUACCCAGAAGGGUACCAGCCAGGCACCAAAAAACUAGCCAGCAUGUCUGGCCUCAAAGAGGAUGAGGACGGCUACAGCGACACAGACUCUUCGUCCUGCAGUGUCAGAGGCAGGGGGAGGAAGUCUGCCGUUCCACCCGCACCUGGGCUCCUCAAGCCAGCUGCUCAGCUGAAGCAGAAGGUUCUGGAGAACUACCGGUGGACGGCUAACAACGCUGGCAGCCCUGCAGCUAAGCGGGCUCGGUCAGAUGGAGGCUCUGCUGAUAUGGAGGACUGGUACAGCCCCCCUGUGCUUCCUCUGGAGCCCUGUGAAUACUGGCUCCACGAAGACUGCGGCAUCUGGUCCGCAGGCGUGUUCCUGGUGAAGGGCAAAGUCUACGGACUGGAGGAGGCUGUCAAGGUGGCCGCGGAGACGAAGUGCUCAGCCUGCAGUGACCAUGGUGCGACACUGGGCUGCUUCUUCAAAGGCUGUGCCAACAAGUACCACUACAGGUGUGCUCUGGAGUCAAAGGGUGCCGCCUUUGACAGACAGAACUGUCUGACCAAAGGUGGUGCGCCUGUGUGGGAUGACACGGUCGCCUCUGUCGGAGACUCUGGUGACUCUAGUCGCUGGGCCGCAGACAGGUCUCUGUUUGAUGGACUCGUUCAGCGGAGGAGAUGCCAGACCAUUUAGGGCUUUGUAAAUGAUGCUGGCUUCUUUAAGGUUGUUAAAACUUAAAAACUUAUUUUUGUUCAGGAUGUGGCAGUGAUGAUGUGUUCGCAGUUUCUUGUUAAAGACUUUGAGUUUUCUCUUAUACACGAGAGUGACCAGCUGGUCAGACAGUACACUAAAUGUGCAAAGAUCAUCGAAUGUAGGAAUGUACUGGCUUCGUUCUCUGUCAAACUGUUUCCGAUGUGUCUGAAGUUAAGUAGGUUGAAUUUGAUGUAGGUCGCUACCUUUUUGACAUGGCUCUUAAAGGUCAGGGUGGAGUCUAGAAUUACCCCUAGGUACUUAAACUCGGUUACUAAGUCUAGCCCUGUUCCCUUUACAAAUAUGUUCAAGUGUGUAUUUAUUUGGCUCCAUUGGCAUCUAGCCAUGCAGUUAUGUCUGGUUUUAUAAGGCUUACACUCUGAUAUUUACUUACUUAUUUAUUUUACAGGGACAAUGCAUACAAUCAACAGUAAAACUGUAAGUUAGCCAGAGAGGCUAAUUUUUUUUAAGAUCUUUUCUCUGAAAUUACAAAAUGUCCAAUACCAUAUUACAAAAUGUCCAAUACCAUAAGAUUAAUCAAUAGACAGACGUAUCGACAAAAACAAUUCACAUAUAAGCAAAAGAAAAGUGUACCUUUUUUUUUGUUUUUGUUUAUUAGUAUGAGCAAAUGUAUAACAUACAUCAACACUGAACAAGACAAAUGUACAUAUACACCAAACAAGCAAGCGGGACAGACGGUACAUUAAUGCUUGCACACCUGAUUGGCAACAAGCCAUUCCUUAAGGCUAUGUUUUGUAUGUGUUUUUUGUGCGUAUGUGUGAUGGUAGAGCAUUCCAUGAGUUUGCUGAAUUCACAGAAAAUGCCAAUUUGCUAAAAGAGCUUGACCUGAGAUGAGAUGAUACAAUCACCUCUUGGAGCAGAUCUAGUGUGUCUGCCACUUAGAGUGCGGUGUAUAAUAAAAGCCUCCGCUUAGUGAUACCAUGUAAACAGCAGAUGCAUCAGUGAAUUUUAAUGAGGUUCUCCCAACUUAAGAUAUAGUGCAGUGAUGGUGACUUUUUGUUUUUUAUCAAGUGUUUUUAGAACUUUUAUGGAGAAAAUUGAUAGAUUUUAAUGUUGUGUUGCUGGUUUGUGCCCAGUAGGUCAGAUGGGGGAUAAUCAUUGCAUUAAAAUACAGUUUGGCAGCCUGCAUGGUUAGAUUGUUUCUUAUAUAUCUAAAAUUCAUCAGGUUAAAUUUGAAAACCUGUCACAUGUUUUACCUGCUUUUUUAGAGAGAUUAGAAUCGAUACAAAUUCCUAAAUAUUUAAAGUCUGACACUACCUGUAGCCUUCUACCAGCAACAUAAACCUCUGGCUCCGGUGACACUUUGUAAGCCCUCUUUGUGAAGAACAUACAGUCUUUUUAAUAUUCAGGUGAAGAUGGGAAUCUGAAAGCCAUUUAGUUACAUUUGUCAUUGUGGACGUGAGCUUAAGUGCAGCUUGCUCUUUUUUUUGCGUGCACAUAAAUCACUGUAUCAUCAGCGUACAUGUGAAUAUCACACCCAUUGUAGACACCCGGCAAAUCAUUAAUGUAUAAACUGAAUAAUAAAGGUCCUAAAAUAGGGUUAACGUUGAAUCUCAUCUAAAAAAAUAUUAGAUCUCAGAAUAGAUGAUGAAACAUCACCCACUUUGACACACUGAGUUCUUCCCUCAAGGUAGAAUUUCAGCAAGGCAAGACUCUCUUGAAAGGUUACAAUUUGAGUGUAUUAAUCAGGACAUUGUGAUUAACUGUGUGAAACGCCAGGUCAAGAAAAACAGCUGCUACAACACCCCCUUUAUCCAUUUUAAGCUUCACAUUCUUGAGGAGAAAGCAAUAGAAUGUUUCAGUCGAAUGAUUAGCCCUGUAACCAAACUGCAUAGGAUGUAGCUGAUAUUGAGAGCUGUAGAGGUGUUUGGUAUUUCUCAGCAAUUUUGGAAACGGCAGAGAGAAUAUGAUUGACCGAUAAUUAGAGACAUCGGUUGAAUCUCCUGACUAAAAUCGGGUGUUACUAUGGCUGAUUUCCAUCCUAUCGGAAACACACAUUGCCUGAGAUUUGUUGACAAUGCUUGUGAUGGGGAACAAUAUUGUCAAUUCCAUAAACAUCUUUGGCCCAAGAAUUCUUGAGUGAGCCUAGAACUCUGGACAGUAGAUUCAGACACUUCCUGAAGAGAAGCAUGGUUGACCUUCAUUUACUGGUUUACAAUGAAAUUGACCAAUACUGGAGGUUGAGUUAAAGCUUCAACUGUAUCUGAAAAUAUUUAGUUCAAUACACCCAUGACCAUUGCUGUAUGUGAGUUCAUGUGAAUUGAUCUGUGAUUGUAAAGUGUGGCUGGUCGUUAUUACUUCUACUAAGCUUGAACCUUCACGUGUGGGAUGAAUCGAUGUGGCAUAUUUAACUCCUGUUCUUGUUCUCGCAGACUGUGUACUCGUAGAAGACAUUUUUUCCACAAAGUGUAAAAAGCACAAGAACAAGACAUUCAGAGCCCCUCCAGGAAACCGAUGGGAGGACAGGUGACGAUGCAGCAACCUCAUGAG